rnacentral:rRNA from 1 species
GACGAACGCUGGCGGCGUGCUUAACACAUGCAAGUCGAACGGUGAAGCGCCUUCCUUUUUGGUGGGUGUGGAUGAGUGGCGAACGGGUGAGUAACACGUGAGUAACCUGCCCCCUUCUUCUGGAUAACCGCAUGAAAGUGUGGCUAAUACGGGAUAUUCUGGGUCUGUCGCAUGAUGGGUCUGGGAAAGAUAUUGUUUCGGUGGGGGAUGGGCUCGCGGCCUAUCAGCUUGUCGGUGGGGUGAUGGCCUACCAAGGCGGUGACGGGUAGCCGGCCUGAGAGGGUGGACGGUCACACUGGGACUGAGACACGGCCCAGACUCCUACGGGAGGCAGCAGUGGGGAAUAUUGCACAAUGGGCGCAAGCCUGAUGCAGCGACGCCGCGGGAGGGAUGGAGGCCUUCGGGUUGUGAACCUCUUUCGCCAGUGAAGCAGGCCUGCCUCGUUUGUGGGUGGGUUGACGGUAGCUGGAUAAGAAGCGCCGGCUAACUACGUG